UACGUAGGGUGCAAGCGUUGUCCGGAAUUAUUGGGCGUAAAGAGCUCGUAGGCGGUUUGUCGCGUCUGCUGUGAAAUCUGGGGGCUCAACCCCCAGCCUGCAGUGGGUACGGGCAGACUAGAGUGCGGUAGGGGAGAUUGGAAUUCCUGGUGUAGCGGUGGAAUGCGCAGAUAUCAGGAGGAACACCGAUGGCGAAGGCAGAUCUCUGGGCCGUAACUGGCGCUGAGGAGCGAAAGCGUGGGGAGCGAACAGG
rnacentral:rRNA from 1 species